GAUGAACGCUGGCGGCGUGCCUAAUACAUGCAAGUCGAGCGAACGGACGAGAAGCUUGCUUCUCUGAUGUUAGCGGCGGACGGGUGAGUAAUACGUGGAUAACCUACCUAUAAGACUGGGAUAACUUCGGGAAACCGGAGCUAAUACCGGAUAAUAUUUUGAACCGCAUGGUUCAAAAGUGAAAGACGGUCUUGCUGUCACUUAUAGAUGGAUCCGCGCUGCAUUAGCUUGUUGGUAAGGUAACGGCUUACCAAGGCAACGAUGCAUAGCCGACCUGAGAGGGUGAUCGGCCACACUGGAACUGAGACACGGUCCAGACUCCUACGGGAGGCAGCAGUAGGGAAUCUUCCGCAAUGGGCGAAAGCCUGACGGAGCAACGCCGCGUGAGUGAUGAAGGUCUUCGGAUCGUAAAACUCUGUUAUUAGGGAAGAACAUAUGUGUAAGUAACUGUGCACAUCUUGACGGUACCUAAUCAGAAAGCCACGGCUAACUACGUG
rnacentral:rRNA from 1 species